AAGUGAGCACCUCCUCUACUUUUAAUACAAUGUAAAUCUCACACAAAAAGAAGUCAAUGCUUCUAAAUUUUUCAAAUUUUCUUUAGUCUUACUACCCGGAACGCCUUGCGAAAUGCUACAUCUUACAUAUGCCGGGAUUCUUCGUGACUGUUUGGAGAUUCGUCUGCCGUUUCCUAGAGAAAACAACUCAGGAAAAGGUUUGAUCUUUAAUCAUCUCGUGAUGUAUCUAUCUCCACAAAUUCAUUUUUUAAGCAAAUCUGAAGCACGUUACUUUUUUUUUCCCUGGUUUUAUAGAUUGUAAUAGUAACAGACGGAGAAGAACAGAGAAAAUUUGAGGAGGAGGUUGGAUUAGAGGCUUUACCUGAAGAAUACGGAGGCCGAGCUAAGCUCACAUUAAUCCAAGAUGUCAUUCUUCCUCAGACUGCUCCACCAAUGUUACCAACAAACAAUAAUGCUUAAUUCUUAAUUCUUGGAAAAGCAUUUAACCCUUCAAACACUGAAUCCUGCUUUAAUACAUAUUAUCUCCCUACUGCUUUACUCUUUUUAUU
rnacentral:lncRNA from 1 species